AGGAUGAACGCUGGCGGCGUGCUUAACACAUGCAAGUCGAACGAUGAAGCCGGAGCUUGCUCUGGUGGAUUAGUGGCGAACGGGUGAGUAACACGUGAGUAACCUGCCCUUGACUCUGGGAUAAGCGUUGGAAACGACGUCUAAUACCGGAUACGACGCGCGAAGGCAUCUUCUGCGCGUGGAAAGAAUUUCGGUCAAGGAUGGACUCGCGGCCUAUCAGCUAGUUGGUGAGGUAACGGCCCACCAAGGCGACGACGGGUAGCCGGCCUGAGAGGGUGACCGGCCACACUGGGACUGAGACACGGCCCAGACUCCUACGGGA
rnacentral:rRNA from 1 species